rnacentral:tRNA from 1 species
AGGCCUGUGGCUCAAUUGGCUAGAGCGCCGGACUCCAAAUCCGAAGGCUGGGGGUUCGAGUCCCUCCAGGCCUG